UGGUGAUCAAUCACUGUUGCUUGUCAGAAAACUCUGAAAAUAUUAUUGAGUACAUCUACCAUGAGCUAUGCUUGCCAUUUUAAAAGAUGUUUAUGUGAGCUUCAUGUCAUAUCAAUUUUUUUGAAGCAAGCAGAUCUUGCGAUUUACUUAUGAUUUAUGAACAGAAAAUGUUUACUGUGUAACCCCUAAAUACAGUAGAAGAGAUUAGAGAAGCAGGUCUUAUAAAACUACGCUGAGACGAGUAGUACUUAUUUAGUCAAGUGACAUGUUAGAUAAAAUUCUACACCUAUUACAACUUAUCUGACUUCUGUAUUUUGUAAAGAUAGCUGAACUAGAUUGUGUUCUAGGAAUAAAAAACCAUGGAUGUUUUCCAUUUAUUCACUUGGCUUUUGGAAUUUGAUUGAUGUCCCCUUUCUCAUAUUAUUAACAACAUAUACCUACACAGUUCUCUCUACUGGUUUGCCAAAUUCUAGACACUUCUUGUGUGGUCCAUGCUUCCUCUUUGUACUAUGCUUACCUACAUUCGUAAUAUCACUCCUUUAUUCCCUUGACGUGCUUUUCCUUUACAAAGAAGAAUACACACCAUGGGGAAAAGAGAAGUAAAUUUGUAUUUGUAGUCUACAAACAGGGCGUCCUAAUUAUUUGUUCGAGCAUGCUACAGUCUUGUUUUCUCUGCCGUGUCUUCUCCUUUUCUUAGUAGUGUCACUACUGAUUGAUCUGCUCAGAUGUGCUAUUUAGAGUUUGAUAUAGAUAUAUACUAGCUAUUUUAUUAGGAGUUGGUGGUAAAGAUGAACUAAUGGUCGAUCCUCCCUGCUGUCCUCGCUGCACUUCAUGCAAAAUCAUUGGGCCGGUACUGGGAGUACCUCAUUUAUGAUGGAUCUUAUACUUCAAAGCUUAUUUAUAUUGUCUAAUAUGUUUUAUUUGUACUAAUUCAGUAAAUUUAAUUUAUCUUUUGGCUUAAUAUGUCCAAGGUAUUGAUAUAGUAAUAUUUUGUUACCUGAUUAAAGCUCAAACAUACUGCUUCAGUAUCUCCCAGUAGGUGCCUCAGAAUUAUGCAGUUGAUCGUACCAUACUGCUACUUGAAUAAAAAUGUUUAUCUUUGUGUUCUACACUGAAGCUAUCAUAUGAAGUUUAAUUAUUUUAAGCGUUCAUCACCAAAACUACUUUGUUGGUAGUGAAAGGCUUCAUAGAAUUUCAUAGAUGUUGCACAUCAUGAGAUUAACCCGUAGAAGAAUGUAUUCAUAACCAUAUGACGUGUGUGAUGUUGGGUUAUAGCCGUUGUAUGCUGAAAGGCUUUUUCCCUUGCUUCCUUCCAUUUUCUUCUAUGUGCAUUGACUAGACGUAUGUUUUUACAAUGUGGCAUGGUUUGAGCAUUUUAAAUUCUUUACACGCUUCCAUUAUUUCCCGCCCCAUUUAUAUUGGUAUGUCCUUUAAAUAGCAGGCAGGUACAUGUGUGAUGGCACAAUAUAACUCAGUGUUAGCUGGCUUAUAAUCUCUUAUCCCUUGAAAGACUUCAAAGAUGGCAUCUCAUGGGACAACACAAGAGACCAUAUAGUAAAGGAAAAGAUGCAAACACGAUAGGCAGGACCAAAAGUAUUUUUAAUGAGCCUGAAAAAUCAUAACGGAGACCGGUAUUGCUACAAUUGUAAGUUGUGAUCCUAAAUCUGAGCUUGAUGGUGCUGAAAUUACUAAUGAAUUGUAGGUAGUGCAUGUCGAUAUGGCACUUGUGAAAACUAAAUAUUUGGUAUGGAGUCGCAAAAACUGUAAUACUCUUGGUAAUGCAGAAUUUUUUUGCAUGGCAACCUUUGUAAGUGACUAAUAUCCUGCCUCUAUCACGAAUUGCAUCAUGCUUUGUGUGUUAACAGUUCAUUUUGUUUUUUUGUUUGUAGAUUCAAAAGAUAAAUGGAUGAUUAUAUGGGUGUGUGGGCAAGCAUACUACUAUGAUGACGAUGAUGUUCGUGUUCAUGAUGAUGGAGACGGAUGCUUUCAGUUUUAGUAAAGUUGUAGGGAUGAUGUUCCUGUUGGACGAUGUUCCUCAAUUAUGUUUUAGUUAAUCUGUAGGGAUGUUGAUGCAUGCUUUCAAUUUAAGUUUCACCAUCAAGAGAACAUUUAUAUUAUA